GCGGGUAUCGUAUAGUGGUAAUACCUUAGCUUUCCAAGCUAAAGCCGGGAGUCCGAUUCUCCCUACCCGCUCAA
rnacentral:tRNA from 1 species